GGGCUUGUACUGGUUUCGACGGGGGUUCAGAAGUUUGGGAAGCCAUCUGCGGGGCGGGACCGCAUAACAAUCCGUACUUUAAAAUUAAACGCAGACGAAAAUUUAGCGUACGCUGCCUAGUGGCAGCAGUCGGCCUUAAGUCGCUCACUGCUUAAGUCACCGGCUUCAAUGAGGUGAGGCACUUCGUUUCCAAAGCUUUGAGGGGAUGGAAGAAUUUAUGAAGCUACUGAGAUCAGAAGCCUGUCAUUAGGCGUCUGAUGGAGGGAAUGUCAAAAUAAUGACUGUGAUGGGAGAUGCCUCGAUGGAAGGGCUUUCGGACAGGGGUUCGAUUCCCCUCAGGUCCAUUU
rfam:Clostridium nexile CAG:348 genomic scaffold, scf110